rnacentral:rRNA from 1 species
AUUGAACGCUGGCGGAAUGCUUUACACAUGCAAGUCGAGCGGCAGCACGGGGGCAACCCUGGUGGCGAGCGGCGAACGGGUGAGUAAUACAUCGGAACAUGCCCAGUCGUGGGGGAUAACACUUCGAAAGAAGUGCUAAUACCGCAUACGUCCUGAGGGGGAAAGCGGGGGAUCGCAAGACCUCGCGCGAUUGGAGUGGCCGAUGUCAGAUUGGCUAGUUGGUGGGGUAAAGGCCUACCAAGGCAACGAUCUGUAGCUGGUCUGAGAGGAUGAUCAGCCACACUGGGACUGAGACACGGCCCAGACUCCUACGGGAGGCAGCAGUGGGGAAUUUUGGACAAUGGGGGCAACCCUGAUCCAGCCAUUCCGCGUGAGUGAAGAAGGCCUUCGGGUUGUAAAGCUCUUUCGGCAGGAACGAAACGGUGAGCUCUAACAUAGCUUGCUAAUGACGGUACCUGAAGAAGAAGCACCGGCUAACUACGUG